AGGAAAGUGACUUACCAUUUCACAGGUAAUAGGACUACCGAUACAAUACGAUAAAAAUACAGACUUAGUGCGUUUGCUAAUGCGAUGUUUUUGAACAGGUUUCUCCUAAAGCACCCAGAGCUGCUAAAGAAGUGUAUUACUUCCGUGAAGCGGAAAGGUUUUAAUCCUACGUCUUGCAGUUCUCUUUGCGGAAACCAUUUGCGACAAGAUGAUUACGUAGUGAGCCCUAGAACGUGGAAGAAACGUCUCAAACCCGAAGCAGUGCCAUCAGUUUUUGACUUUCCGACUCAUUUGAUGCCACCAAAUAAACAGCGACGAUGACAUGUUGUUAGGAUUUUGAGUGACAACGAAUGCUUCUCCAUUUGAGCGUUCUGUCAUAGAAUCUGUGCUCGAUUUGCCAGCUGCAGAACCUACUGAUUGCGUGGAGAAUGUUGUCAAUGAGAAUUCUUCCGUGGAAAGCAUGUCCCAAUUAUCCAAUGCAGAAGCUGCGAAUUGUGUCAAAAACAGUGCAGUUGGUUCUUCAGUAAUUGAUUGUGGUAUACAGUCGAAAGUAGAAAUGGAAGACAAGGCGACCGAAACUUGCAAUUUUUUCUCAGACAUUGUGCACGAAUUAAAACGUAAACUGAAGUGCGUCUGUGAAAAACUUCGAAGAAGAGAGAAGAAAGUAUGUUCCAUGGAUGACAUCAUAAGUUCAUUGAAGGAGAAUGGGCAUCUUCCUAAGAAGUUACAUAAUUUCCUCAAUCAUCAGAAAGGAACACAAGUGGAAUUAGUGUGCAAUUUAGUGAACAACUCUCUCUCGUCAAAGGGUAAUAGAUACACAACAAAUGUGAAAAUGUUUGUGAUGACUGUGUACUUUUAUUCACCAGCAGCAUGUGAUUACCUGCAAAAAUUAAUGCCUCUGCCCCAUAAAUCAUUGAUUUCCAAAUGGAUGGCAAGUGUAGACUGUGAACCUGGCUUCUUAAAAGAUUUUUUUAAGUACAUUGAUUUGAACCUAAUUGUAAGGGACCAGUUCAGCGAUUCAUGUUUAAUUGUAGACAGUAUGGCAAUUAGGAAGCAAGUAGUUUGGGACCGAGGAACUAAGCAAUACACAGUUUUUUUUUAGACUUUGGUGGGGAAGUUUCUCAGUCAAAAGAAGUAAUAGAGGCAUCUAAGGCUCUGACUUUCAUGCUUGGCUCUAUUAAAGGCAAAUUUAAAUGCCCGAUUGCAUAUUUCUUUAUCAACGGUGUACAGGCAAAUAAUCAGGCCACACUGAUAAAAUCUGCUUUGAGAGGCUGCAUAGUUCUGGCAUUAGGGUUUGGUGUGUUACAUGUGAUGGCUGCAAGGUAAAUAUAAGCACUUGGCUGUACUUUAAAUUUUUCCAAGGGUGAUUUUAAAAGCCACUUUCCUCAUCCUGUGGAAAAAUACAAUGUUUAUUGUAUCUUUGACAUGUGUCAUAUGAUUAAGUUAGCCAUAAAUGCUGUAGCAGAAGUAUCUAUCGAGUCUCCAACUGGCAUUAUUAGAUGGCAUUUCAUUGAGCAAUUGAAGAAGGUACAACAAGAAGAAGGUAUGACAUUUGCCAACAAACUAUCAGAGCAACAUAUAAGUUAUGUAAAUAGAAAAAUGAAUGUUUCAUUAGCUACACAGACUUUGAAUUCUAGUGUGGCAGAUAGUAUAGAGUUUUUGAGGAGGGUUGGUGAACCAAAUUUUAAAGGAAGUGAAGCAACAGUAGAAUUUUUGUAUUAUAUUGAUAGGAUUUUUGAUAUUCUGAACUCCAGAAAUCCAUUAGGUAAAGGGUAUAAGAGCCCCCUGAGACUUGACAACAAAUCUUAUUGGCUUGGUAUUUACAGACACUAAAAAUUAUAUCAAAAGCUUAAAAAUUAUUGGUGUUCCGUUGCUGCUCCAUGCAAGAAGUACUUUUGCUUUUGGGAUAAUUUUCGAUAUGCAAUCAGUCAGGCACAUAGCUCUGUCAAGUAUGCUUCGUGUCGAAUCUCCUCUGAAGUAUUUGCUGACAUAUAAACUGUCACAAGAUCACAUAGGGCUUUUUUUUUCCUGCUUUCGGCCCAGAGGUGGUUGGAACAACAAUCCAAAUGCAUACCAGUUCAAAUGUGCCAUGAGAAAGUUUCUCUUGGGUAACAGUGUCACCGUAAUGAAUGAGAAUUGAUCA